AAGAAGAGAAAAUAAUGAUAAAAUUAUAUGAGAAAUAAUGUUGCGAAGAUUGGUUCAAUGAUGAGAUAUACCAACUGUAUAAAUUAACCAUGAGAUUACAUGUUUCAUAUCGUAUUCGCGAAUAGAAUCAAGCAAAAGCUCGACGUUGAUAGACGAAGUUUAUAUUAGGAAAGUUUUUACGUUUUCCAUCGAGCUAGGCUCAUCUGUUUUAUCUGUUUCCUCAAUAUAGUGUCGUGACUCGUUCAUAUCGAUCACAAAAAUAUAAAUUAUUUGGUUAAAAAUAUCAUCACGUAAUUCAUCUAAAAAUCUCUCUAAAAAUGUUCGAUUUGUUUCUUUAUUACAAAUUAAAAAAAAAUCUUAGUUACGUUUAGAAAGUUUAUUUCUAUCUUUGAAUUGAUUCUUCAAAUCAGAAUUCUACAUCGUUAAUAUCAUUUUUCUUAAUUUAUCAUUUAAUGAAUGAAUUAGUUCUUUUUUAAUGAGUGUGAAUUUCUUGUUACAUGUGAUUAGAAUAAUAUAAAUACGUGUCGUUAAUUAUUGAAAAACUUUUUUAAAAAAGAAUUUCCAUACAAAAUUAAUAAAAUAUGUUGAAAUUGAAAAAGAAGAGAUGUUAUGGAAUGGACAAUAUAGCAUUCGUUUCUUUCUGUUGGUCAGAGUGAUCGAUGAGGGUUCUGAAUCUCUGUUUCAUCCUUUUGUGGAUGCAUAGAGGUUAAUAAAUCAAAGAAAUAUAUUAGAAACGUGAGAAGUUUUCUUUAUCUAUCUAUUUAAUCAUUUAUUUGAAAAAUGUUUUGUAUUUGAAAAGUGCUCCAGAGGACAGCACAGGACGAGUACAAAUCGACAAGUUUUGCUGGUCGUUUAAGUAAGAGGCCGUUCUGGCAAUUGUUACGAUCGUUGAUAUCGAGUUACACUUCGUAUGUGUACACUGUGAUCUCACACAUGCGCAGUUGUUGCUAAAGCAUCCGUGACAUAGAACGAUCAGGUUAAAGUUCUUGCCAAACUCUCAUUAGACACGAGGAGAGGGAUAGCGAGAGAUUAACAAGAAAACAGAUAAAACGGAUGGAACGAAGAAAAGAGAGAAAUGGAUACGGAUGAAGAACAUUAUAUUCAAAGUUUAAAACAAAUCAUAAGUUAAAUUCUAUCUUCUCGAAAGAAAAGCAUGGAGUUGCAACACAUUGGAAGAAAAGAAGAAAGUUUAGAGAACGCAACGAAACGUAAUAGAAACUAAACGUAAUUGAAUGUCAUGUUUCAUAUCUAUCCUUUCUCGAGAAGAAAUAGCAGCUUUGCAUCGUGGAUCUCUGAAUUCCCGACAUUUUCCAAGAAUCCUUGACUGGAAAUCACGGCAUUCAACCUUCCAUGGUGUUUACUCAAACCAGUGCCUCGUGGAACACACGUUAUAUGCAUGAGACUGAUAUGAGUUUCAGAAAGGAAAGUGCAACUAUAUCGAACGUCGAGGCGUCGAAAGGAAAUGCUUGCUGUAAUGUAAACUCCUUCAGGUCUUUGCGAUCGAAAAUUUACAAUCGAAAGUCCGUAUAUUUCAGAAAUAAAAUAUUUUCUAUCUUUAAUUCAUCAUAAAAUAUUGCAUACUUAAACAAUAUUGCACAUAAAACAAAAUAAUACGUGAAGAGUUCAAAGCUCAUUUCUAUUUUCAAAAUUGAUAAGCAACAAGUGCCCAAUAGUGUACUUUCAAUAACAUCAGUUUCUUUUUCUUGAAAAUUUAUACCUUUGUUGCAAUCUAUAAUUGUUAUAUCUAUGAUUGAACAUAAGAAAAUUUUUCAUAAAUAGUAUUAUGUACAGAUUAAAAAAUGAAAUAAAACAUUGUAAAAAAAUAUCAAGAUUUAAUCUAGCAAUUGCAAUAUUAACGUUAAAAAUAGAAUAUUUUGUUGCAGAAUAUUGGGAAAGAUUAUAUGUUUGAUCGAUGUAACUAUAUUUGGUAUACUUAAGAGAACAAAUAGUUUACAAUUUCGUUAUAUUUUUUCUCAGCUCCUGGAGAAAAGUAAUUUUUUAAAACACAUUAAACUUGUUCCCUUCCUCGCGAGCAGUAUUCUCGACAACAUGAAACUUCGACCCCACUUAAGAUCGUGUUUGCGUCGUUCAAAUCGAAUUUGCGAGCAUUUGACAAAUGGUCCAGGCUUGCUUCUGGCAGUUUUCUAAUCUCCUCAGCCUUCGAUCUUAAUUCACCUUGCUUUCUUGGUACAUGCUGAGAAAAAUCCAUCUUCUGAGAUAUUCUUGGUCGCUACUGCAAUAUCUAAGGAACAACAGCGGUUUAAAACAAUUCUUCCCGUCAAUUCCAUCCUAUAAAUUCAUUUUUAUUUCUCUUACCUGGCAUUUAUUGCUCCCUACAUAUUCAUUUGAAUGUUCAUAGCCCAUUUGUGGAAAUGAACAGGCGACUAUUUGGCACGGUAAACGUUUUACACGUAGCAACAGAUGUUGACCUAUUAUCGUUUAAUCUUUUACAUAUUUAAAUGCAAAUUACAUUUUAUACUUACAAAUAGACCAGGUGUCCACAAUUUUGAUGUAAAUUAUGUUAUUAAUAAUUCACAAGAUAUUUUUCUCGUCAAAUUUAUGAAAUAUCCCGUUUUACAUCUUAGUCUUAUUCUCUAAAUAUCGAAAAAAUAUUUUCUAUUCUGAAACCAAAUUUAUCUUUUAGUUUAAUAUCCUCGAUUAAAUAUUUUUCGCAAAAAGAAACGUUUCGUCAGACACGCAAAAAAAGGAAACGAAUUUUCUUCUUUCUUCUCAAGCGAUAUUUUCGAUUCUAUAAAAAUUUACGCAGAAUUAAUCUGGGACCAAAGUCGAAUGCUUAACAAUGCAAAAAAAUUAGAAUCAGUUCGAUUGAUUGUGGAUCGUUGAAAAAGAAAUGGAGAGGAGGACAUUUUGAGAGAGAAGUUAUAUAUACAUCUCGGAACAAAACGUGCGACAGUCAUAAUUUUCUUUGACCAUGCUUCCUUGUUUCCACUUUACUAACGAAAUAGAGCGGCGGCUAAUAAGCUUAAUGAGGAAACUCUGUUGAAGGGUGUACUUAUCAUCUUACUUACACCUGUCAUAGACCUCGUUGCUGCUAUAAAAUAGUCGUGCGUGCAGUAUACAAAAAAGGAUCGUUGUUUUCCUCGUAUCACAAGUUAGAAUAGAUUGCGCAGUUCUGUAUUUGAUUAGAUUGGUUUUAUAUAGGUAUUAUUAAGUAAGAUAAAAACAAAAAAUUAAUGAAAAAUUUAAUAAAUAUCAUUUCACAACGGAUCUCUAUAAAUGUUUCGAUGUAAUUCGAAACGUUUAUUGACAUUUAAUAUUUGCAUCGCGUUAAAAUAAAUAUAAAUCCAGAAGAAUACAACAUUUACGGAAAAUUGAUAACACCUACAUUUAUAACUGUCGUUAUUUAAUUUUUUUUAUUAUCUUUCGCGACGAAAUUUUCGAGGCAAUUGACCACGCGCGAUAAAACCGUACAUAUGCGCCACCAUUGCAAACAGCUGCAAAUCUUACACUCGAAACGAAAUAUAUCGAUACAUAAUCGAUAUUUGGGUAUUCACGAAGAAUUUGAGAAACGAAUCGAUGUAUAUUAACACUCGAUCGAUAAUAUUUCGAAAAUAUCUAUAUAAUAAACAUAAUAACGUUCGAUUAACGAUAUUUCGAAAUAAAAAUGGAAAACUAAAUAUAUCGAUACUCGAUUGAUGAAACUUGGAAAAAAGGAUUGGAAAAUUUCAGAAACGAACGGAAAUACUUAUGUCAACGUUUGAUCGAUUUGAUAUUUGGAAAAAGAGCAGAACAAUUUGAAAAAUUCGAAUCGAAAUAAAUAACGUUUGAUUAAUAUUAAUUUUAAAAAGAAUUUCAGAAACGAAUUUCGAAAUGUAUCAAUGUAUUAUUAUUAAUUUUUAUUAACAAUUUCGAGAAAGAGGUGAAGAAUUUGAGAAAUUGGCGGAGGAUCAAUGAGACGAAAAUUACAGGAUAGAGCUAAUGGAGGAAAUCGGUGGUUCGACGGAUAGGAUUUGAUUGAACAAACAUUAGAAAGAGUAUACCGGGUCAGGGAGCACUUCCCUUCGAGUGUACCGCUGCCGACAGGUUCGAGGGGAUGCGGAGCCCUGUGUUUGCAUCCCUGUGGCAAUCGCUCCCCAGUAGCUUCUGCGGGCCGAGACAUAAGUGCAACUCGAUUUGCAUAUUUAACUGAACCACCGUACCGAACCCUCCGCGUUCCUUUAACAUACUCCAUACCUUCAUCCAUCCAUGUCCUUCCCCUGGAUCCUUCGCCACUUUCCACUACACUGGAUUCGAUUUACUUGCAAUCAUGCUGCGGAUUAAUUAGUUGGUCCCGACGUAAGCUCGACUAUAUUGCCGAAAGGCGAAUGCUGCUAAUUGAUCGUGUUUGAUGACACCGUUGUUUACCCACGAAUCUUUCUUUCUUUCUUUUUUCUCUUUGAUAUAUCCUUGAGGAAUUUAUAAAAAAAAAGACAAGGGACGAGAGAGAAAAUUAUUUUUUACAUUAAAGGAUCGGGCAAAAAUUAAUUUGUAUUUUUCAAAAAUUUUCUGUUGUAUUAUAAAUAAAAAAUUAUACGAGGUCAGGAGGAAAAGAAAUAAAUAUAUAAUGUCGUCCUUUGUGCAUUUUCAUAUUUGACAGAGUAUAAAUAUAUCAGAGGGAGAACUAAUAAAUCUAGUAAGUUUUUAAUUAAAAAUUUUUAAUCAAAAGGCAUCUCGUUUUUAAAAUAAAAAUAAUUCGUUUGCUAUUUCGGUAAAAAUGUGCACCUAGUUUUAACAAUCUUUUGACAAGUUUCCCGAAAAUUUUUUUUUAUGAGGUUUCCUCAAAUUGUUUUCUCAAAAUUUUUUGCCUACUUUUUAGAUGUUUAUUAAAUUUGUAAGUUAUUUUAUUUUGUACUUUCUAGAUAAAAAUUUAAUUAAAACGAUAUUGGCGAAUUUAUUUCGUUGUUUGGAAUUGUUCUUUCUUAUUUAUUUUCAAAUUCAAGAUAGUUUAGAUUUAAUUUUGUCCACGAUUAAAAUGAUUUAUGCUUUUUAUCUUAAUCUAGAUACCUUUCUUUAGAAUUAAUUUUUAAUCGAUUAUAUUUGUAUAAAUUUUAAUACAAUUUUUCUCGUAUUAAUGAUAAUAGUAAUAUUAAUGCUGACCUGUGGGAUAUAGAAUAUUCCAUAUUUUGCCAUUUAUCGAUGAAUUACGAAUGAUUACAGAUAUCCAUUGUUUAACGUGAAAAUCAUUAUGAAUAAUAUUAAAACAUUACAACCAUAAAUGUACGACAUUGUAAUAUUAGUGUAUAUAAUUAUUCUCAAUUAUUUAUCGAUAAGUGCAUAAAUUCAAAUAAAUAUUCCAUGUAAUCCAUAAAUGAAGUAUAAUUAUUAUGAAAUUUCUAAUUUAAGACAUAUUAAAUAUUAAAUAAUAUAAAUUAAAUUGAUAUUAUACGAUUCUUUUGUCUCGCUUCUAAAUUAUUUUAAUAAAUAAAUUUUAAUUAACGAAUCGAUAGAAUAACUUUAAAAAGAAAUUAAAUUUAAAUUCACUCAGUAAACGAACUUUUCCAUUAAUUAUAUCUCAAAUUAUUGAUUAUUAUUGUAACAAUAGCAUUAAGUUACAGUUUGUAAUACAAAAAAAAAAAUGUACGCACUUGCGCAAAACGGAAACGAUAAUUACCGUGGGGAAACAAUACGAAAGUUACGAAGGAAAAAAUUCUAUAGUCUGGUAAACCGCAAGUGGACCAAUGAAGAGGUUGAAUCAAGAGUGGCGAGAGGAACAAUAAAUCCUUCAUAUCGCACUGAGUAUUAUAAUUAAUGAACUCUCGAAAGUGGAAAAAAAAAUUAGAAAGAAGGAAAAUACGAUUGAAACGAGAGAUUGAACGAGUGCUUCAAAUUACGGCAAGUUUAUGUGGUCAAGGUAAAAUGCGAUCGUUUAACCUCAUAAAUUAAAUCGUUCUCAGAUUUUUUUUUUUGAGAUUAAAUAAAUUUAUCAGCUUUUGUUAAAUCAAAUUUAAUAAAACUUUUUUAAAUCUCUAUCAUUUUGAACACGUAUAAAAUGUAUCAUUUAUAUCAACUGUCAUUUUCAUAUAGAAAGAUUAUUACACGAACUUUAUAAAUGUAUAUCUCGAUUAUGACAAUAUAGCUUUCCAGCUGUAUAUGCGAUAUAUGUCACAGAAUUGGUUGCAGUGACAUGAUCAUAGCAAAUCCUAUAACUGUAAAUAUUUUACACAUGAUUCUCGUGUGCAUCGUUCCGCUACAUGAACGUGUAUAACGUGUCAAUGGCAGCCGUUAUCUUAUUGGUCGUUCUAUUAACCCAUGAAACAAACAAGGCCUACCGUGCUCGUAUAACAUCGCGGUAUACAUCAUCGAUGGACUGCUUCCAAUAAACUAUAGCAGCAGUUUCUGCCAAGUCAUUAAUCAUUCAGAAGACGGUGCCAAAGAGAGCAAUAUCGAAUAGUACGAAAACUGAAAUCCCUUUGGACUAAUCGUUCAAAAGUUUCUUCCAACACAAAAUUCCAACAUGGAUAAUUCAUAUAAUAGCAUUUCCUGUAGUUAUCUCAAUUAAAUCUAACGUGAUUUGAAAUUUAUUGAAAUCAACAUCUGAUUCAACAUUACUAUUCGCAAUGUAUUUAAUGUGGAUUGCAUUUAUAUAGUUGCAUACCGAAAUUAAUAAAUAUAUUUUCGGCAUAAGACACAAUAUUAAACAAAUAAUUGUUUAAUAAAUACAAUUGUCAUUGUAUUUCUUUAUAAAUAUAAAUUAUAAUAAAAUGCUUAUAAAUGCUUACCAAUUACACAAAAGGGAAUUAUUACAAAGAAGGAUUUUAAUUCAAAAAUAUUGGAAAACGCUGGUUUGCUCUAUUUCUAUCACCAUUAAUUAAACAAGGAAUAGGACGGAACCAGACUCAUGCGAAGAUGUAAAUUCAGGAAACUCGACUAGGCUACAGCUUGUUAAACUGGUUACCGAGAUGGGCAUAAGAGGCAAGAAGCUGUGAACAAGAGUAUACAAGAGCUACAUCAAGAGUAUAUUGUUUAAUUAACGAGUCACCGCAGCGUACCUGUCCCGUGUCCAUUACAAAAUUAUUAUAUAUAAUUUUAAUUAAAUUGCAAAUAGUUAAUAGUAUAUAAUAUUAAAUCGAUAAUUAGGAAAGCAGUUUACUAUAAUUAGUUUUAAAGAUCGAUACAAGUCGGUUGAUAAUCUCUCUUGGAAGAUCAUUUCUUGAGAUAACGAUCAUUCAUUGUCACGUUAAAUUAUGAAUGAAGGACUAUUCUUCAAAAAUUAAAUUAAUAAACUUGUAUAAUAUUUUAUCACAUUACACUACUUACUUUCUAAAAAAUAUUAUUUAAGUAAGUCAUUUAGAAAAAUUUCAUUUUUAUUAUCUUAUUUCUACUUAAAAGAAUUUUCUUUUAUUACAGAUGUGGCACCUUAUUUAGAGUUCUUAUUUUUUCUAAUAGCUUUUUCAAAAGAGCUCAAACAUAUUGUAUACAGACACGUGCGAGGUAUUCUCUCAUUGAUAUAGUCAGGUACGUGAGAGUUUCUAGGAAAUUACAUGUCAAGCGUCACUCUGUCGAUGUGUCUAUAAGUUCAAGCUCCACGAACGUUUACAACACGUGUCACGCAAUCUCUCUAUCGUCGUGCUUUUCAAGUGGACACACAUACAUACACAGAGAACAAAAGAUGGCAUGGAGGUGUGCAUUCACGUCGUGGAUGGUGUGAAUUGACAAGAACAUUACUCGGGCAAAAUUUUCCCCAUCGAUGGUGUUGCAGAUUUUACUGUAAUCACGUUUUCGCUAUAUAAUUAUCGCGCAAAGUGGAUAUGAAUAUCGGCAAAAGUUGUUCGCCGAGACGCCCGACCUAUCUUCAACAAUUAAAGCAUUACAAAACAAAAUCUGCUUUAUGCGUCUAUGACUUUUCUUUAAUAUAAAAUAUAGCAAAUAAUUUCUAUCAAUAAUUAGACACGAAAGUGAUUUGAAAAUAUCAAAAAUAAUUGAAUUUGUCAUUGAUGCAUGAAGAUUGGAUAAUUAUUUAUAAAAAUAGUACCUUCUUGAUGAUUGAUAAUUUUUUAAUAUAUUAUAAAGGUCAUCGUCAUGAAUAGUUGUGAAGAUUUUAUUUGCUGUGCUGGUAAUUGUUCAUUAAAAAAUUUUGUUCGAAAUAAUUUAUAUUAGAUUAGAUUAAUUUAAAUAAGUUUCGAGUUUAUUCUUGCAGACAAUUGAGAACCAACCACUUCAUGACCAUAAAAUUAAAAAAAUUAGUUCAAACCCAAUGCAAAGUUAUUAUUUAAUUUUUGAAUUAAUAUAAAUUAUUUGAUAUCAAAGAUGAUUUAAUUUUUGAUUUAGAUAUUUUUUAUAUUACGAAAAAUUAUUAUACAUUAAUAACUUUUUAAUAAUCGAUACAAAUAAAAACUUCAUAAUAGAGAGAUCAAAAAGUAAUAUCUUUCUGUAAAUUUCAAAAGAUUUUUAUAAAAAAAAAUUGAAUGAAAAGUAUAUGGAUAUUCAAAAAUAAAUGAAAACAUGUAUAUAUAUAUAUAUAUAAAGUAAAACCCUCAUAUUCACGAAAAUGGAUUCCAAGUUCCCCUUAUUGAUAUCUGAAACCGCAAAUAAUAACAAAUAUUAUAAUUCAAGAAGGGUCAGAUCGAUAGGAUUCAAUUUAAUAUAUUAAAUUUUGAAUUUUAUUAGAAAAGUAAAAUUUGAUCCAGCAAUACGUAAAUAAUAUUUUAAAAAAAUCUCUAAAAAUCUGUAAAAGCAUAUUUAAUUAAAGAAAAAUUUUUCAGCAUAAAGUAAAAUUUAUUUUAUUAGUAAAAUCUUUAAAAUUAAAUUCAUGCAACAAAAUCUCUCCAAUGUGAAAUAAAAUUUAUUUUUUUAUAAAAAUCUUUCUAGGCAUAAAUUAAAAUUUAUUUACUAAAAUUUCUACGAUAUAAAAUUUUGUUUCGUUGAAAUUCUGCUUCAUAUUUCUUUUACACAAACAUUUUUGAAAAUAUAAAUGGAGACGGAAAUAUACAUACAUGUUCUAUCUCCAUCCGUGAAAAUAUAGAGCAAGAAAGGCAAUCUUGAUAACUGUACUCUAAGAUCAAUCAGCCUAAUACUCUCCAUCGAAUCGGACAAAAUAUCUUUCAUCCUAUAUCUCGUUUAAUCUUAAAUCACAAUUUUGUCCAAUAUCUUUUCCAAGAUAUUUUACAAGGUAUAAAAUGAUUUUAGAAAUGUUUAUAUAUCAAAAUGUUUAAUGCUCCAAAAAUAAUUUUAGAUUUGUAUUGAAUUCAAAUGAUAAAAUACUCUGAAAUAAUAAUUAUACCGAUUCCUCAACGUUUAAACUUUAGACUUUUAGACUCCCUGUUCGAAUAUCUCUAAGGAGCGCGAUAAAUACAGGAGGAUCAGCAUUAGUGGUCAGGACUUGGAAUAUCACGGACUACGAAUUAUAUAAAUCCUCCGACAAAUCCAGAUGGCUUUAGCACGUUGUGUAUAAGGUGUAACCGAAAUCGUAAAAUGGAAGAAAGAGAUUUUUUGUUAAAUGUAAGAAUUUGCCGAGAAUUUAGUAAGUAUAAAUUUUCAUUAUAAUUAUUUUUUUUUUAAUUUGAAUAUAAAUAUAAAAUUAUUCAACAUUGUUGCAAUUUCAAUUUUUAUUUAAAUUUAAAAAAUAAACUUUUUAGUGUAUUUUAGAAACGAGAUGCAAAUUAAGUACAACAAGUUUUUAUAGAGAUAACAAAAUUUGAGAAAAAAAUAUCAAACUGACAAUAAUAAAAAUAAAAUAUAUAAUAUUCCAGUGUAUGUUAAUUUUAAAUUUUUGUGCGAAUAUAAAAAUUAUAAACUUGAAAAAUUUCGAAUGUAAAAUUUAGCAAAAUAAUUAAAUAUAUUUAUCGUUUUAUUUAUA